rnacentral:rRNA from 1 species
UACGAAGGGGGCUAGCGUUGUUCGGAUUUACUGGGCGUAAAGCGCACGUAGACGGACUAUUAAGUCAGGGGUGAAAUCCCGGGGCUCAACCCCGGAACUGCCUUUGAUACUGGUAGUCUUGAGUUCGAGAGAGGUGAGUGGAAUUCCGAGUGUAGAGGUGAAAUUCGUAGAUAUUCGGAGGAACACCAGUGGCGAAGGCGGCUCACUGGCUCGAUACUGACGCUGAGGUGCGAAAGCGUGGGGAGCAAACAGG